AGAGUUUGAUCCUGGCUCAGGAUGAACGCUGGCGGCAUGCCUAAUACAUGCAAGUCGAACGAGAGGAAGGAAAGCUUGCUUUCCUAAAUCUAGUGGCGAACGGGUGAGUAACACGUAGGUAACCUGCCCAUGUGCCCGGGAUAACUUCUGGAAACGGAUGCUAAAACCGGAUAGGUAGCAGACAAGCAUUUGACUGCUAUUAAAGUGGCUAAGGCCAUGAACAUGGAUGGACCUGCGGUGCAUUAGCUAGUUGGUGAGGUAACGGCCCACCAAGGCGACGAUGCAUAGCCGGCCUGAGAGGGCGGACGGCCACAUUGGGACUGAGACACGGCCCAAACUCCUACGGGAGGCAGCAGUAGGGAAUUUUCGUCAAUGGGGGGAACCCUGAACGAGCAAUGCCGCGUGAGUGAGGAAGGUCUUCGGAUCGUAAAGCUCUGUUGUAAGAGAAAAACGGCACUCAUAGGGAAUGAUGAGUGAGUGAUGGUAUCUUACCAGAAAGUCACGGCUAACUACGUGCCAGCAGCCGCGGUAAUACGUAGGUGGCGAGCGUUAUCCGGAAUUAUUGGGCGUAAAGAGGGAGCAGGCGGCACUAAGGGUCUGUGGUGAAAGAUCGAAGCUUAACUUCGGUAAGCCAUGGAAACCGUAGAGCUAGAGUGUGUGAGAGGAUCGUGGAAUUCCAUGUGUAGCGGUGAAAUGCGUAGAUAUAUGGAGGAACACCAGUGGCGAAGGCGACGAUCUGGCGCAUAACUGACGCUCAGUCCCGAAAGCGUGGGGAGCAAAUAGGAUUAGAUACCCUAGUAGUCCACGCCGUAAACGAUGAGUACUAAGUGUUGGGAGUCAAAUCUCAGUGCUGCAGUUAACGCAAUAAGUACUCCGCCUGAGUAGUACGUUCGCAAGAAUGAAACUCAAAGGAAUUGACGGGGGCCCGCACAAGCGGUGGAGCAUGUGGUUUAAUUCGAAGCAACGCGAAGAACCUUA
rnacentral:rRNA from 2 species